GCAUAUCAUAAGCGGAGGAAAAGAAACCACAGGGAUUGCCCCAGUAACGGCGAGUGAAGCGGCAACAGCUCAAAUUUGAAAUCUGGCCCCCUCGGGGGUCCGAGUUGUAAUUUGUAGAGGAUGCUUUUGGCAAGGUGCCGCCCGAGUUCCCUGGAACGGGACGCCACAGAGGGUGAGAGCCCCGUCUGGCUGGCCACCGAGCCUCUGUAAAGCUCCUUCGACGAGUCGAGUAGUUUGGGAAUGCUGCUCAAAAUGGGAGGUAUAUGUCUUCUAAAGCUAAAUACUGGCCAGAGACCGAUAGCGCACAAGUAGAGUGAUCGAAAGAUGAAAAGCACCUUGAAAAGAGGGUUAAAUAGUACGUGAAAUUGUUGAAAGGGAAGCGCUUGUGACCAGACUUGGGCGCGGCGGAUCAUCCGGGGUUCUCCCCGGUGCACUUCGCCGCGUUCAGGCCAGCAUCAGCUCGCCGCGGGGGAAAAAGGCUUCGGGAACGUGGCUCCUCCGGGAGUGUUAUAGCCCGUUGCGUAAUACCCUGCGGUGGGCUGAGGACCGCGCAUCUGCAAGGAUGCUGGCGUAAUGGUCACCAGCGACCCGUCUUGAAACACGGACCAAGGAGUCGUCUUCGUAUGCGAGUGUUCGGGUGUCAAACCCCUACGCGGAAUGAAAGUGAACGCAGGUGAGAGCUUCGGCGCAUCAUCGACCGAUCCUGAUGUUCUCGGAUGGAUUUGAGUAAGAGCAUACGGGGCCGGACCCGAAAGAAGGUGAACUAUGCCUGUAUAGGGUGAAGCCAGAGGAAACUCUGGUGGAGGCUCGCAGCGGUUCUGACGUGCAAAUCGAUCGUCAAAUAUGSGCAUGGGGCGAAAGACUAAUCSAACCUUCUMKUAGCUGGUUUC
rnacentral:rRNA from 1 species